GACGAACGCUGGCGGCGUGCCUAAUACAUGCAAGUAGGACGCAGUUGCGAACGGGUGAGUAACGCCUAGGUAACUACCGCUUAGAGGGGGAUAACAAUUGGAAACGAUAGCCAAUACCGCAUACUAGUAGAUGGACCUUCGUUGUAGUAGGUAGUAGGUAGGGUAAUGGCCUACCUAGGCAACGAUACAUAGCCGAGCUGAGAGGGUGAUCGGCCAAACUGGGACUGAGGAACGGCCCAGACUCCUACGGGAGGCAGCAGUAGGGAAUCUUCGGCAAGGGGGCGCACCCUGACCGAGCAACGCCGCGUGAGUGAAGAAGGUUUUCGGAUCGUAAAGCUCUGUUGUUAAGGAAGCGGUACUUAACCAGAAAGGGACGGCUAACUACGUGCCAGCAGCCGCGGUAAUUC
rnacentral:rRNA from 1 species